UCUGGUUGAUCCUGCCAGUAAUAUAUGCUUGUCUCAAAGAUUAAUCCAUGCAUGUCUAAGUAUAAAUAGUAUACCUUAAAACUGCAAAUGGCUCAUUAAAACAGUUAUAGUUUAUUUGAUAAUCAAACGCUACAUGGAUAACCGUGGUAAUUCUAGAGCUAAUACAUGCUGAUAACCCGGCGUAAGUCGCGGUUGUAUUUAUUAGAUAUUAAACCAAUAUGUUAAUAGCAUUUUGAAGGAAUUAUGGUAACUGAUCGAAUCCUCGCUUGUCGAGGAUAAAUCAUUCAAGUUUCUGCCCUAUCAGCCUUCGAUGGUAGUGUAUUGGACUACCAUGGCGAUACGGGUAACGGAGAAUUAGCUUCGAUUCCGGAGAGGGAGCCUGAGAAACGGCUACCACAUCUAAGGAAGGCAGCAGGAGCGUAAAUUACCCAAUGUCGACUCGAUGAGCGUAGUGACAAUACAUAACAAAGAGGGGAUUUCAUUAUCUUACUCUAUUGCAAUGAGGCAUGUUUAAUAACCUGUUCGAGCAACCAGUGAAGGGCAAGCCUGGUGCCAGCAGCCGCGGUAAUUCCAGCUUCACGAGUGUAUAUUUAAGUUGUUGCAGUUAAAAAGCUCGUAGUUGAACUUCUUUUUGUUCAGAAGGCGUGCAAGCGCAGUCUGGGCGAAAAUCCGCCUGAAAAAUCAUUCGGGUCUUCACUGAUUCAGUGAUGGAUCAGGCAUUUUACUUUGAAAAAAUUAGAGUGUUCAAAGCAGGCUCACGCCUGAAUACAUUAGCAUGGAAUAAUAGAAUAGGACGCUGUUCAAUUUGUUGGUUAUUGAAUUGCGUAAUGAUUAAUAGGGACAGUUGGGGGCAUUUGUAUUUAAUUGUCAGAGGUGAAAUUCUUGGAUUUAUUAAAGACAAACUUAUGCGAAAGCAUUUGCCAAGGAUGUUUUCAUUAAUCAAGAACGAAAGUUAGAGGAUCAAAGACGAUCAGAUACCGUCCUAGUUUUAACUAUAAACUAUGCCGACUCGGUCUCAGUCAAGUCUUCCUAACUUGAUUGGUGCCGUAUGAGAAAUCAAAGUCUUUGGGUUCCGGGGGGAGUAUGGUCGCAAGGUUGAAACUUAAAGGAAUAGACGGAACAUCACUACCAGGUGUGGAUCCUGCGGCUUAAUUUGACGCAACACGGGGAAACUUACCAGCGCAAAACAAGGGUGGGAUUGACAGAUUGAGAGCUCUUUCUUGAUUCUUUGGAUAGUGGUGCAUGGCCGUUCUUAGUUGGUGGAGUGAUUUGUCUGCUUAAUUGCGUUAACGAACGAGACCUCAACCUACUUACUAGAC
rnacentral:rRNA from 1 species